rnacentral:tRNA from 2 species
UGGAGAGGUGGCCGAGCGGUUGAAGGCGCGACACUGGAAAUGUCGUUUAGGGGUGACUCUAACGAGGGUUCGAAUCCCUCCCUCUCCGU